rnacentral:ncRNA from 1 species
UAUCUUUGCAGCUUGAAUACGAAAACCGUAGUCAAGUACAUAAAAAUCAUUUACAAUAAUAUUAGCAUG